UACAGAGGUGGCAAGCGUUGUUCGGAAUUACUGGGCGUAAAGGGCGCGUAGGCGGCCUUCUAAGUCAGACGUGAAAUCCCCCGGCUUAACCUGGGAACUGCGUCUGAUACUGGGAGGCUUGAGUAUGGGAGAGGGAUGUAGAAUUCCAGGUGUAGCGGUGAAAUGCGUAGAUAUCUGGAGGAAUACCGGUGGCGCAGGCGGCAUCCUGGACCAUUACUGACGCUGAGGCGCGAAAGCUAGGGGAGCAAACGGG
rnacentral:rRNA from 1 species